rnacentral:lncRNA from 1 species
UUUUAUAUUUUUGCUAUUAGAUUAUAAAUUAUUUGAGAGCAAAGCCUGUCCUCUGGUUUUACAUUUAUUCAUUCAAUAAGCACCAUGGCACUAUGUGGGGGAUCAAAAAUAAAUAAGAAAUAAUUUCCUUUCCUCUGUGGACCAGGGUCUACUUUGGAAGAAAUAAUGUUUAUACAAAAAAAAAACAACAAAAAACCCUCAAUAAGCAGAGAAAUGAGAGAUAAGGUUUAAAACAUGAGUUGAGGUCAUGAAAACAUGGAGAGUCUGUUAGGUUU